rnacentral:rRNA from 1 species
GACGAACGCUGGCGGCGUGCCUAAUACAUGCAAGUAGGACGCAGUUGCGAACGGGUGAGUAACGCGUAGGUAACUGCCUAUUAGAGGGGGAUAACUAUUGGAAACGAUAGCUAAUACCGCAUACUAGUAGAUGGACCUGCGUUGUAUUAGAUAGUAGGUCGGGUAAUGGCCUACCUAGGCGACGAUACAUAGCCGACCUGCGAGGGUGAACGGCCAAACUGGGACUUGAACACGGCCCAGACUCCGACGGGAGGCAGCAGUAGGGAAUUGUCGGCAAUGGGGGGAACCCUGACCGAGCAACGCCGCGUGAUAGAAGAAGGUUUUUGGAUCGUAAAGCUCUGUUGUGAAGGAAGCGGUACUUAACCAGAAAGGGACGGCUAACUACGUGCCAGCCGCCGCGGUAAUAC